rfam:Myotis brandtii contig210150, whole genome shotgun sequence.
GCCAGUGUUGGUAAGUGGUUAGAGCGUUGGCCUGGAAACCUAAGGGUCGUGGGUUCAAUUCCCAGUCAAGGGCA